rnacentral:rRNA from 1 species
GAUGAACGCUAGCGGCAGGCUUAAUACAUGCAAGUCGAGGGGCAGCACGGUUAGCAAUAACUGGUGGCGACCGGCGCACGGGUGCGUAACACGUAUACAAUCUACCUUAAACAGGGGGAUAGCCUUUCGAAAGAGAGAUUAAUACCCCGUAAUAAAUUGAACGGCAUCGUUUGAUUUUGAAAGCUCCGGCGGUUUGAGAUGAGUGUGCGUCUGAUUAGCUAGUUGGUGAGGUAACGGCUCACCAAGGCGACGAUCAGUAGGGGAUCUGAGAGGACUAACCCCCCACACUGGUACUGAGACACGGACCAGACUCCUACGGGAGGCAGCAGUAAGGAAUAUUGGUCAAUGGAGGCAACUCUGAACCAGCCAUGCCGCGUGCAGGAUGACGGCCCUAUGGGUUGUAAACUGCUUUUAUACAAGAGAAAACCCUGGUACGUGUACCAGGUUGAUAGUAUUGUAAGUAAUAAGCAUCGGCUAACUUCGUGCCAGCAGCC